UUCGUAGGUGGUUUAGUAAGUUUGUAGUUAAAGCUGGUCGCUCAACGAUCAAUCUGUUACAAAACUGUUAAACUAGAGAAUGGCAGAGGCAACUGGAAUUCUGCAUGUAGGGGUAAAAUCCGUUGAUAUGCAGAGGAACACCAAAAGCGAAGGCAGGUUGCUGGGCCAUUUCUGACGCUGAGGAACGAAAGCGUGGGGAGCAAACA
rnacentral:rRNA from 1 species